rnacentral:tRNA from 1 species
GCCUCGGUAGCUCAGCGGUGGAGCAACGGCCUUGUAAGCCGUGGGUCGCGGGUUCAAAUCCCGCCCGAGGCUCCA